rnacentral:rRNA from 1 species
GAUGAACGCUAGCGGGAGGCUUAACACAUGCAAGUCGAGGGGUAUAUCAGCAAUGGUAGAGACCGGCGGACGGGUGCGUAACGCGUAUGCAACUUACCUUAUACAGGGGAAUAGCCCGUGGAAACGCGGAUUAACACCCCAUAGGACAUUGGUGUCGCAUGGCACAGAUGUUAAAUUUGCGGAGGUAUAAGAUAGGCAUGCGUCUGAUUAGCUAGUUGGUAAGGUAACGGCUUACCAAGGCGACGAUCAGUAGGGGUUCUGAGAGGAUAAUCCCCCACACUGGUACUGAGACACGGACCAGACUCCUACGGGAGGCAGCAGUGAGGAAUAUUGGUCAAUGGGCGAGAGCCUGAACCAGCCAUUCCGCGUGAAGGAAGAAGGCCCUACGGGUUGUAAACUUCUUUUCUGUAAGAAGAAUAGCUCCGACGUGUCGGGGUAUGACGGUAUUAUAGGAAUAAGCAUCGGCUAACUCCGUGCCAGCAGCCGCGGUAAUACGGAGGAUGCAAGCGUUAUCCGGAUUUAUUGGGUUUAAAGGGUGCGCAGGUGGUUUUAUAAGUCAGUGGUGAAAGUCUGGCGCUUAACGUUAGGAUUGCCAUUGAUACUGUAGGACUUGAAUAUGGAUGAGGUAGGCGGAAUGUGUAGUGUAGCGGUGAAAUGCAUAGAUAUUACACAGAACGCCGAUUGCGAAGGCAGCUUACUAAUCCAUUACUGACACUGAGGCACGAAAGCGUGGGGAUCAAACAGGAUUAGAUACCCUGGUAGUCCACGCCGUAAACGAUGAUCACUCGCUGUUUGCGAUAUACAGUAAGCGGCUGAGCGAAAGCAAUAAGUGAUCCACCUGGGGAGUACGAUCGCAAGGUUG